rnacentral:rRNA from 1 species
CAGUCGCCGCGGGAAUACGUAGGGUGCAAGCGUUAAUCGGAAUUACUGGGCGUAAAGCGUGCGCAGGCGGUGUUGUAAGACUGAUGUGAAAUCCCCGGGCUCAACCUGGGAACUGCAUUGGUGACUGCAACGCUGGAGUGCGGCAGAGGGGGAUGGAAUUCCGCGUGUAGCAGUGAAAUGCGUAGAUAUUCGGAGGAACACCGAUGGCGAAGGCAAUCCCCUGGGCCUGCACUGACGCUCAUGCACGAAAGCGUGGGGAGCAAACAGGAUUAGAUACCCGCGUAGUCCCUGUCUCUUAUAC